GCUUUUUGUGCAUAGCUCAGAUUUUAAGCUACCCAUAUUCUCAUAUUUUCUUGUUCAUUUAGCUUUUUAUAAUUAUUUUUUACCCGAAAACUGAGUUCUAAUAUGAAUUAAUCCCGACAUAACUCAGCUCAGCUGACUUAAGAUUUUGAUAUGGAUAGAGUUUUAAUUAAUCUAAUGACUGAUUGAUCUGAUAGAAAUGGAAUCAAGAAUAAAUUUUUUGAAAUAAACUAAAAAAAUGCCCUGGUCAAGCUCGAUGUGUACAAUAAUUUUUUUCAAUCAUAUUUCACGAGACCCUUAAUUAUCUUUCUAAUAUCUAUUGCACUAGCGGGAAGCAAUGACAAGAAGGAUAUAUCACAAGUUCAUCUGACUUUCUCUCUGUAUAUGCAUAUAUAAAUAUGUACGGAAAAAAGAGACAUAUAUAAUUAAUUAAUUACCUGUAUUGCUUAUAAAAAAAAAAAAUUAAUUAC
rnacentral:misc_RNA from 1 species